ensembl:lncRNA
UUACUAUUGUGCUAGUGUAAGGGUAAGGUUAUGGUUACAAUUAUGCAAAUGUUAGUAUUUGGCUAGGGCUACUGUAAUGCAUUGGUUGUGGUUUGGCUAGGGUUACUAUUAUGCUAGUGUUAGGGUUGGCUACUGGUUGUGGCUGCAUUGGUUGUGGUUUGGUUAGGGUUACUAUUAUGCUAGUGUUAGGGUUGGUCUACGGUUACUGUUGUGAUAGAGUUAUGGUUUGGCUACAGUUAAUAUAAUGCGAGUGUUAGUAUUUGGCUAGGGUUACUAUAAUGCAAGUGGUAGGGUGUGGCUAGGGCUCCUCUAAUUGGAGUGUUAAGGUUUUUCUAGGGUUACUAUUAGGCUAGUGGUAGGUUGGUCUAGGGUUACUAUUGUGCUAGUGUUAGGGUUUGGCUAGGGUUACUAUUAUGCUAGUAUUAGGGUUGGUCUAGGGUUACUAUAAUACGAAUGGUAGGGUUGGGCUAGGUUUACUAUCAUGCUAGUGUUAGGGUUGCGGUAGGGUUACUUUUAUGGUAGUGUUAGGAUUUGGCUAGGGUUAGUAUUAUGCGAGUCUUCGGGUUGGGCUAGGGUUACAAUUUUGCUAGUUUUAGGGUUGGGCUAUGGCUAAUAUAAUGCUAGUGUUAGGGGUUGGUCUAGGGUUACUAUAAUACGAAUGGUAGGGUUGGGCUAGGUUUACUAUCAUGCUAGUGUUAGGGUUGCGGUAGGGUUACUUUUAUGGUAGUGUUAGGAUUUGGCUAGGGUUAGUAUUAUGCGAGUCUUCGGGUUGGGCUAGGGUUACAAUU